GUGAUGUGCUGGGUGCCCAGGUGAGAUGCUGGGUGCCCGGGGUGAGAUGGUGAGAUGCUCAGUGCCCAGGUGAGGUGCUGGGUGCCCAGAGGGAUGUGCUGGGUGCUCAGGUGAGAUGCUCAGUGCCCAGGUGAGAUGCUCAGUGCCCAG